ensembl:lncRNA
AACAAACCGAAAGAAGGAAUAAACAAUUGCUGCAUUUGAGGUUGUGUUAAUACACAAUUAGUGUAUUAAUUUUUCUGCAAUAAUGCUUUGCUGGUCUCAUGGAAUAGGAGAAAUGGGAGCAUUGAUUACACAGCAGAAAUCAAUAUCAGCCAUGCAACUGACUUAGAAUACAUCAAAAACUUCGUUCUUUGAGUUUAUCAUUAUGUGAACAGGGCAGGGCAACACAUGGAUCAGGAUUGAGACAUCUGCCCUUGAAGACUUGAGAAACAAUGUGAAUAAGGACAGAUGCAAUGAAAUGCACUUGCUCUUUUAGCUUUCACUGUUUUCUAACCAGAUAGAUCAGGUCUAAGAGCUGUUAAUGGUGAGAAAUUUCUACCAAAAUAGCUGCAUACAAACUGAAUUGAUUUCUCCCUUCAAAGGGUGAAGAUGAAGAAAGUUGCGUGAUGUCAUGAAGAGGCCAUAGUUCUUAUCCCAGGAAGCAUGUGCUUUGUUCCUACCUUAGCCCAGUAUGUUCAAAUGUUGACAUCCCUGGAGACAUGCUCUUUGCCUGAGGAGUCACUGGAGGAAAAAGAGACAAAAUGCUGAAGCAGGAAGUAUAUUGAGGAUGACUUGUGACUAAAAAGCUAGAGUCUGAGCAGAAAAGUAACAGCUACAGGUCUCCAGUGAGUUCUACAAAGGAUACACCGACAAUUAAGACACUGUCCUGGGGUGUGGGAUGUAAAGAUGUGUGUCCUGCUUCAAUGAGCAUAAAUAGCUGGCUUGAUAUAGAUUCCUCUGAACUAUGCAUAGAGACUGGAUCUUCAGUCUGUCUGAGGCCAGAACAGCCCCUUAACCUGGAGGCAAGAGUUGUCUAUUGGGCAGUGUACAAAUGGAAUAUCUGUAAUGGACUGGGCUGGAAUCCAUGUGGUGUCUGCUACCUGAAAUAGUGACAGUCCAUUAGAAACACACUUUCUACUUUUGGUGCCCAAUCAAGUCUCUGUUGACAAGUAAGUUGGCUUCAAUUUUGAGGGCUCAGCUUAGGAGUUCAUUAAUUGGCAAGACAAGAGUUGGUCACUAAAAAUAAAUCACCUGUUGGAGAAGAUUAAUGAAAGAGAAAUUAUAUUGUCCUGUCUUUUAAUCAGAUAAUGACCUUAGAGAAAUACCUUUGUUCUAAUUCUACUGAUAUCAGGAUAGUCAGAAUUGUGUUUGUUUUAACAAAGACCACCUGUAAUCUUAGUGAUUAUUAUUUAUGCAUGCAUGCAUGCAUGUAUCAUUCAUAGCAAGAAGCAGUGCAAUUCAGCAACAUCCAUUUAAAUGAUUAAAGCCCACGCUAGAUGUGCUCUAAAUAAUUUUGGUUUUGAUGUUGUUAUAGUAUAGACUAUGUAGCUAGCAGUGCUGCUGAUCUGAAUUCAACUCCUAUUAUUUAAGUGCUUUCAUUCAUAAAAGACUGACGUAAAGAGACAAAACCUCAGGGACAAAGAUCACGGAGAUGUUCAGAAAGAGCCAGUUUCUGGUGGUUAUCAAAUGUGUACCAGGGAGAAGAGAGUGCAUUUUCCAUCAUAUUGGGAGCAAUCAAACUCAGUACUUGCUCUGCACCCAGGUGCUGGCAGGUCCCAAAGCAGUGUGGUAGCUAGCAUAAUUAACCUGUGGAUAAUAAGGUGUGGAGCAGGGAGUACACUGAAUAUCUAUUAAUUCUGCAGCAGUUGGCAUGGGUUCUAUCAUAUGCUUAAUUUCUUCCUUGAGGGAAGGAGAGAAAUUCACCUCCAAUUUUAAAAAUUUGUCACGCACUAGUUUUAAAGGAAAAAAUUCUAUUUACCACUGUUAACAGUAAUAACAGAAAUAACUACAGGAAAAAAAAUAGAAAAACAAACAAAAAAACGAUAGCUAUAAGAGAGAACUAAAUCUCUCUAAGCAUAAAGAAAACACUCUUUCCUGUGAAUUUGUGUGAAUACUUUCCAGUCUGAGAAUUACACAGUGAAGAAACUCCCAAGUGAUUUUAAAUGUUGAAGACAGCAAAAUUUUAUGAUCCUUUCACUGCAGAAAAUCUUGAGCUUAUCCCUUCCCUUUAUCUUCUAUUUCAGCAGUUCUAGAUUAAAUAAUUAUACAAAAAAUACACAUUCAGUAAUCAAUUUCAUAUCAUUCACUUGGCUCUAAUAAAAGUCAACCUUCUCAUGUCAGCCUCUGCAUAUGGACAAAUAGAUCACUAUAUGAAUCAGCAGUGUAUGACUAUUAACCUAGUGGCCAGUGAAUCCAAGUACAUGGAUGAUAACCCUUCUGUAAUGAUUCAACAUACACUGAAAAAUGAACUGAUUUAUGAAGAGGAAAAACUGUGGAUAUGACAUGAAGAAUAAACUGCCAUUGUUUUUUUCUCUUAUUCUUUUGAAAUUAUUUAUGCAAUUAAAUAUCACUUACUUACACUUCCUCUGACAGAAAACAUUGCAUAGUAAUAAUAAUAAUAAUAAUAAUAAAAAUCAUAGUCUGGCAAAUGAGCUGAAAGUUCUUUCCUCAUUUUGCUCUCAGCAUUAUUUGGAUCACAAUGCAUGUUUGCUACUUAAAUGCAGUAUUCAAUUUCAUGUGCCUGCUGAUUAAUACUAUCUUUUAUAUGUUAGAUACUUGCAUAAACACAACACUGACUCAUUCACAUCCUGUCAUUUAUUUAAAAUGUUUUAAUUCUGGAAGACCUUAUUGUAUGAAAACUAUGAAACAUUGUCAAGUGAACAGAAAUAUCCAAUUAUUUUCCUCUUAGAUGAGAGUCUACAUUAGACAAUUUCUCCAUUUCAAAAAUGAAAAAACAAUUUGGCAUAAUUUUCCCUGCAGAAAUGUCUAAGGUAUUGUGUUCCAAAUAGCAGGAACAGUUGGCUAAUAAAGCAAGCUGAAGUUCAAGCACCAUUAUGUCCUAUCCCAAUGUUUUAAUUUCACCUUGGCUAAGCCAACUGAUCAUAUUUUCAGAGAUCAUGUUAUAUAGCAAUGCUUUCCUCAUUACCCAUGUGACUUUAAUACGGCACAAUACUCUUUCUGAGAUAGAAUUUGCCAACACCCGUGUAAAUGCUGAUAAAAAUAAUCCCUAAAGGGAAGGAAGUCAUAUAUAUAUGUGUGUGUGUGUGUGUGUGUGUGUAUAAAAGAAGAAUAUUUACUGGCUUCCAAAAUCAAAGUUUUCUUUUCAGAGCUUCAGUCAUUUAUACUUCAUGUAACUAAAGGAAAGGAGGACUGGUACUUCUGAACUCUUAGUGGUUUAUAACAUUGCAGUUCUGAUUAUUUAAGCUAUUUUUUUUUUCUGUUACUUGAGUUAAAAAUACUAAUCUAUACAUUUUUAACAUCUUUUCUUUCAACUAGUGUUCAUCCCUCUUGACUAGAAGACAUUUUCUGCUCUGAACUGUAAACACACAACUCUGAACUUCUCUUUACAUCAGUGAGAUAAAAAUAACUCAGACUUCUCUCUUUCACCUGAAAAUGGGUCAUAAUUCCCCCUAUCUUCCAAGGAUUUGGGAGUGGGGCAUCACUUCCAACUUUUUUUCCUUUAACGUGCCAAUAAAACUCUAGAUUCCUGUGAGAGGAGAAAGAAAUAAAUCUCUACAUAGAGGCAUGUUAACAUAAACUCAUGCAUUAGGUGAAGUGUCACUGAACUGUUGUGCAGUUUUCUCUAGGAGCGGUCUCUACUGGACCAUGCCCAGAGGGAAAAAGAAAGCAUCAGGCCUGGUGGUGCUGUAGAGGAAGAGAGAUGCUGAAGGAAUUAUUGGGUCCAAAUAGCUGUUGGAUAUUCAUCCAGGGUUCCUAGUGGAACCGACUAUUUAUAUAGUCUGUUAUAUAUAGAAUAUAGAACUUUUAUAUAGAACUUUUAGUAUAUAGAACUGUUUAUAUAGUAUAUAGAACAGACUAUUUAUAUAGUCUGUUAAGAACCAAUGUUAAAAUUAGUCCAAUGUUCUGGGAAUUAUAAUAAGUUAGGUAGAUAAUCCAUCCACAAGACAAUAUUGUCGCUACUAACAGCCAAACAAUGUUGGAGUCGUGUUCUGUUAAGAAGUCUUCCAACUGAGUGAUACUUGGGACAAAGCUAUCAUUUUUUCUUUGAUCCAUUGCUAAAUUGUUUCUGUACCAGCACCUAUAGAAGCCAUCCCCCUCCGCAGCAGCUCCACUAGGAACCCACUGUCCAAGUGGCUUCUGGACAGUGGAAUAGUUGACAGAUGGCAGACUGGUUUAGGUUGGGAGGGACCUCUGGAGGUCAUCUGGUCCAAAUCUCAAACUCUUUACCUCAGAACACAGGAAUUACAGGCAGGGGCAAACAGCUCUCAUACAACAGGUUCAGGAUCUUGUUUGACUCUUUCAGCAAAUAUGUCUUAUAUUCUUGAACCCACAAAACAUCUCUUCCUCUAAAUAUAUUGUCUCUGUAAUUAUAGUGGAUCUGAUACCAAUUUUUAUUUUUUUUCUCAACUGAAAACUGAGUUUAUAUGCUCAUAUUUUUGCCCAGAUAGCAGUGCACACUCACUCAAAACCUCUAUUGUGGAGUACUUCAAAACUUAACACUGUUUGAAACGCCUUGAAGCUGCAACUGACAUGAUCUUCUUUAAAACUUGUGUUCAUAUGUGUACUCUUACUUUUAGUACAAUCAUAGGUUAUCAAACCAGAAUGCCAAUCAUUUACUUCCUUUCUUACUUCUGUUUAUAUUUCAGCUGUUUACCUGACUGUAGGUUACUUUUACAUGCCUUUACUUAUUGAAAAAGAAAAGAAAAAAAAAAAAAGGGGAAACAGCAAGCAGUAUAGCUUUUUGCAGCAAACGUGCAAGUAUGGGUAAUUAUGAAGUAGAAAAGUGAUCAAAAGUGAUCAUUUAAUCUCCAUAAGUUGAAAAAGGGAAAUUCCACGGCAGCAAUAACUUUCCUUUUCCUUUAGGCACUGGAGUAGCAUUUUCUGUAUUUUGUUAUGUUGGGAAUGUUAAUGUACAAGACAGGUCUGGUCAUCCAUCAUCCAGAAAAAUGAAUUUGACAAAUUUGAACAGUUUAGAAAACAUUUACUGUCAAAAUGUUCAGGAUCUGGAUAACCUCUUUAAGGCUGCAACAAGCUUGUUCUAAGGAAGUGAGAGGAAGAUAGCCUGCAGCUGUGUACGAGGUGCAAGUAGAGGCAGGAAGUAGAUUCUCAAGGUAAAGAGCUAUGUGUGCACUGAAUAGGAAAUUAGAUCAGGAAUUAGAUUCCAAACAACCAAAAGAAUAGCUAUAUAAUACAGUCUUUUUAAUGGAAAAUAUAUCAGCAGCAAAUCUGAAUGAGUUUUGUUAUUUUAUAAGUAUAGUGGAUGUAUGAAUGUGCCAUGUGAUAUAUUCAUGCAAUGACAAUACUGAGGACAUUCCUUCUAGUCUCAUGUUGAUUCUCUUACACUCCAUUUCCAGGAGCAGAUUUUUCAGAAACUUAUUUUUCUUUUUUCAAGCCUUACUUCUACAAAUGUAAAGCCUUUGAGAUUCUGUUCUUUACGUAUGUUUUUCUUAGAAAAAGAAUUAAGCAUCUUUCUUGAAAUCUCUACAUAUCACAUAGGGAAAAAUCAAAGAAAUACAAAUAAUUUAUUGAUGUAUUUUUACUUCCUCUAGGUAGCGUCUUAUAGAUGCAUUAGCCUUUUAAACAGUAUUGUUUAUGAAAGACUUAUUAGAACUUGUUUGUUUUUGUUUGGGUUUGGUUUGUUCUGUUUUUCUUUAUGUUAUGCAUUCACUGACCUAUUUUGUUGUAAUAGAUGUAAAAAGACAUUGGUAAUCUCCACCUAAUGAGACUUACCUAAUUGAUUAUUGAAUGUAAUUUUCUACAUUUUCUCUUUUAAAACAGGUGGGAAUGAAAAAUAAAUGAGAACCUCUUUCAUGAAGUUCUUUUUAUUUGUUAUCAGUCUUUUCAUUGAUGUCAAAUCCUACAACUGAAAUUUCAGUUAAGAGCAAUAUAUACCACACUCCUAGAUGCAGUUUCAUGCAUACCAUAAUAAUGAGAAAGACAGUUAAAUUUAAUAUUUCAUAUAAAAAGAUUACAAUUAUCUCUUAUCUAGCAUUCUUGCUACAGAAACACUGUUUUGGGAGGCUAAGGAGAGAGCAGGAGAUGGCUUUGAUCAUAUCCGUACUGGAAAUUCUGAGAGAUUUUUUUUAUUCCUUUCCAAAUUUUUAUGCAUAAAUUAAACAGGAGCAUGUUGUGAACCCCAGUCCCAGGUUGUCACAGAUUCCCCAGGGUUCGGAGAACCAGAAUCUAGUCAGUUUGCUGGCUGAGCCGCGUGGGGAGUGAUGACAUGACCCAAUAUGAGUGCAUCAAAAUCUCCAUUUAUUAUCCGUUGCUUACACACAUAUAUAGAUUGUGGCGAAUGUGCAUCAGCUUGUAAUUGGUUGAAGCAUUAUGAGAGCCCCCGGCCCUACAAUACCAUUGGCCGUGGAAUCACACAUCUUGCUCGCAUAGCUACUGAUACAGCAUUAAUCUUCGCAUUGUUCUUUGUAUUCCAUUACUCAGUCUCUUCCCAGGCUAGCUUCCCCCUUAUCUUAGCUACAGCCUCAGCUUCUUCUUUGUGCUUUCAUAGCCUCAAGGUCUCCUAGCCUGAGUUGUGCACAUAGCACCCGAGCUUAGCAAGUUCUUGCUCCCUGAGCUAUCAUAGCAAGCUAGUACUUUUCCAUUUGUAUUUUUUGCCAAUUGUUAGGCCUGUCCUGCUUGUACAACUGUUCAAGAGACCCAUGGCCCCCUUGGUUGUGGAGCCAUUCCUCAACAGGAGAAUACUCUCUAAAGGAUCUGGAGAUCAAAAUAAUUUCCAUUAUCAUCUGAAGAAGCCAAUAGUACGUUUUAUUAUACUUCCCUUCAGCUAAAUGAUUUGUUUCAAGUAGCUCCUUUCAUGUUGUGCAUUUCUAAGGUAAUGUAUGGAUACCAUAAUGAAACUUGAAGAAAGGUGUUUCAUUAAGAAAUUAAUUCUAGAAACUAAAUAUGAAUUAUCUUACUGAUUUGGAUAGCAUACUUGUCUGGUGAAUUACUUUCAGACGUAGAGAGUGUAUAAACAGGAGGGGGUAUGUUUGUCUGUGAGGGUGGAUAGUGACAGGACAAGGGGGGGGGUGGUUUUAAACUAAGAACAGGGAAGGUUUAGUUUAGAUAUCAGGAGGAAGUUUUUCAUAUGGAGGACGGUGGUGCACUGGAACACGUUGCCAAGGGAGAUUGUGGACGCCCCAUCCCUAGAGGCAUUCAAGGCCAGGCUGGAUGUGGCUCUGGGCAGCCUGAUCUAGUGGUUGGUGACCCUGCACAUGGCAGGGGGGUUGAAAUGAGAUGAUCAUUGUGGUCCUUUUCAACCCAGGCCAUUCUAUGAUUCUAUGACUCCAACACUGUUUUACAUUAAGUAUUUACUAUGUAGUUAACAGAAGCCAACAGCAGAAUCCUAGUAGCAUUUAGAAGAAUUUAAGCUAAGAUCUCUUUAGAGAAUGUUUCAAAUUCAUCUACAUCUGCAUCUAGUAUAAAAGAUUUGUAGGAAGAAUUAGGAACACCAUUCUGCAUCCUCUUUCUAUUUCCAAUCAUGUUAGUUGUUCUUACUGAUCACCUCAAAUAGCAACUGUAAUUUUUAUUCAUAUGCAUAUUUUUCUGCCUGUGGCUUUUCCUCUUGCCUCAGAGCUCUGUAACUGCCUCCAAGACCUGACAAAAGCUUUGCAUACAUAUAAGAUACUCCAAAAAUGCAGUAUUAAUUAAUUAUAAUGCACAGCUCUAAAUUUUGCAUAAUUCCAAUUCACUAUUAUAAAAUUUGUGAACUGUCAAAAAAAUACUCUUAAUGAAAAAAAACCUUCUAAAUUACAUAUUAUUUACAAUUAAGUUGGCUUAGAAAAUCCCAAUAACAGGUCAGAAUUUCUUAUCAAGGCAGAGUGGUGCUAAGAUUUAUGUUAACUCACUCUUUCAACAAAAUGUGUUAGUGCUAUCCUUCUGUUUAAUGCAGCCCAAGGAUUACAAAAUCCCCAGAUGUCAACUCCUUGAUUACAAGGAAGCAAUUAGUAAUAGAAUCUAAAUUUAUAUUCCUCAAGAUGAAGGAAUAAAACUCCUAUGAGAGUAAUUUCUGUGGGCUGUGUUUCAGAAGAAAGCACACUUUCAACAACAAAAACCUCUACUGUGAAAAAGUGCCAUAAUAUUAAAUUCAUACCAGAUAGGGCUGCUAUAGUCUAAAAAUAAAUGUAUAAAUAUCACGGAGUUUUCCGAGUCCGUGACAAGGGGGCCACAGGCUCAGGGAAAAAGAAAAGAAAAGAAAAGAAAAGAAAAGAAAAGAAAAGAAAAGAAAAGAAAAGAAAAGAAAAGAAAAGAAAAGAAAAGAAAAGAAAAGAAAAGAAAAGAAAAGAAAAGAAAAGAAAAGAAAAGAAAAGAAAAGAAAAGAAAAGAAAAGAAAAGAAAAGAAAAGAAAAGAAAAAAGAAGGGAAG